UAGAGUUUGAUCAUGGCUCACCAUGAACGCUAGCUACAGGCUUAACACAUGCAAGUCGAGGGGCAACGGGCAGAAGGCUUGCCUUCCGCGCCGACGACCGGCGGAUGGGUGAGUAACGCGUAUCCAACCUGCCGCGUGCCCGUGGACAGCCCUUAGAAAUGAGGAUUAAUACACGGUGCGGUGUGACGGCUGCAUGGCAGUCACACGAAAGUCGCGAGACGGCACGCGAUGGGGAUGCGUCCCAUUAGGCAGUUGGCGGGGUAACGGCCCACCAAGCCGACGAUGGGUAGGGGUUCUGAGAGGAAGGUCCCCCACAUUGGUACUGAGACACGGACCAAACUCCUACGGGAGGCAGCAGUGAGGAAUAUUGGUCAAUGGGCGGAAGCCUGAACCAGCCAAGUAGCGUGAAGGAAGAAGGCCCUACGGGUUGUAAACUUCUUUUGCCGCGGGAUAAAGUGCUUCACGAGUGGGGCAUUGCAGGUACGCGGUGAAUAAGGACCGGCUAAUUCCGUGCCAGCAGCCGCGGUAAUACGGAAGGUCCGGGCGUUAUCCGGAUUUAUUGGGUUUAAAGGGAGCGCAGGUUGGUGCGUAAGUCAGCCGUUAAAUAUCGGGGCUCAACCCCGUCCGGCGGUUGAAACUGCGUGUCUUGAGUGCACAAGAGGCAGGUGGAAUUCGUGGUGUAGCGGUGAAAUGCAUAGAUAUCACGAAGAACUCCGAUUGCGAAGGCAGCCUGCUGGGGUGCAACUGACACUCAUGCUCGAAGGUGCGGGAAUCAAACAGGAUUAGAUACCCUGGUAGUCCGCACAGUAAACGAUGGAUGCCCGCGGUGCGCGCAGUAAGCGUACGUCGCCAAGCGAAAGCGUUAAGCAUCCCACCUGGGGAGUACGCCGGCAACGGUGAAACUCAAAGGAAUUGACGGGGGCCCGCACAAGCGGAGGAACAUGUGGUUUAAUUCGAUGAUACGCGAGGAACCUUACCCGGGCUUGAAAGGCCGCCGGCGGCGACUGGAGACGGUCGCUUUCUUCGGACGGCGGUCUAGGUGCUGCAUGGUUGUCGUCAGCUCGUGCCGUGAGGUGUCGGCUUAAGUGCCAUAACGAGCGCAACCCUCAUCGCUGGUUACCAUCGGGUAAAGCCGGGGACUCCAGUGACACUGCCAUCGCAAGAUGUGAGGAAGGCGGGGAUGACGUCAAAUCAGCACGGCCCUUACGUCCGGGGCUACACACGUGUUACAAUGGGGGGCACAGCGAGCAGAAAUGCGGUGACGCGUUUCGAAUCCUUAAAUCCCCUCCCCAGUUCGGACUGGAGUCUGCAACCCGACUCCACGAAGCUGGAUUCGCUAGUAAUCGCGCAUCAGCCAUGGCGCGGUGAAUACGUUCCCGGGCCUUGUACACACCGCCCGUCAAGCCAUGAAAGCCGGGGGUGCCUGAAGUCCGUAGCCAUAAAGGCGCGGCCUAGGGCAAUACCGGUGAUUGGGGCUAAGUCGUAACAAGGUAACC
rnacentral:rRNA from 1 species